GGCCGUCACGUGGGGCAGCGUGGGCCGCUGCCUUGGAAACGCAGAGCGCGCGCUCCAGGUAAAGGCUGCUACGCCCAGGACAGGGUUCUCACGGUGGAGGAAAGGACUUCUGCGGGAUACCACGCUGUGCGCCAAAAAGCCGGGCGGCUUCGGAGCCAGAGCAGCGGCUCUGCGGCGCAGGCGGCGGGUCGGGGCAGCCUUGAAGCCGGGAUCCGGCCCGAAGGGGUCUUUUUGGAGUUCCUGAGCUCAGUGCCCCAGAAGGCACAUACUUCAUAUGAAAUAUGAAGGAUUUCAUACUGCACAAGAAAAAGCCUUGAGAAAGACAGAAUUGCUUGUGGACCGUGCGUGUUCCACCCCACCUGGGCCCCAGACCGUGCUGAUCCUUGAUGAGCUCUCGGAUUCCUUGUGCAGAGUGACCGACUUGAAAUCAGAAAAGGAAAAUCUGUGUCAGUGAAUUUCACUAUUCAAGUACAGUCAACCCCUCCAGAUUCGGGCAUCUGUAGAGUCAACCAACCUUGGAUCAAAAAUAUCUGGAAAAAAAAAUUGCAUCGGUACUGAACACAUACAGACUUUUUUCCUUGUCGCUGUUGCAUGAAAUAAUACAGUGUAACAGCUAUUUACAUAUUAUUUACAUUCAUUAGGUAUUACAAGUAAUCUAGAGAUGAUUCAGUGUAAGGGUUGUGCUGUGUGUCAGUUAUAUGAUUUGAUGUAUGGAGUGUGCUGUGCGUCAGUUAUAUGCAAGUACUACACCAUUUUAUAUCAGAGACUUGAGCAUCUGUGGAUUUGGGUAUCUGUAGGAAGAUCUAACCAUUGCCCACUGAUACUGAGGGGUGACUGUUGGCAUGGCUGUCACAAAUCCCAGAAUUCACUGUGUAUUUGUUGUCUUAGUCUUCAUCUUAAUCAGUAUUCUAGGAUUUUUUUCUACAUUUUUGCUUGUGGUCUUCACUAAAAUAUUUUAACUUUUCUGCCCUGUAUCUUAUCUUAUUUUGACAUUUUUAAUAUUAUGUAUAAUAUCUCAUUUUGAAAACUUAAAAAAAAAAAAAAACUAUGUGAUUUAUAUAUGUAGUUCUCCGGGUAAAAAAGAACCUUUCUCCUUUUUGAAUUUUUGAGAUGUUACCUACCAGUAAUGUUGGUACUAUUAUAAGGCAAUCGUCUUAUAAACUUUUUCACUAAAUAGUCAUUUUGUUUUCUUUGUUUUCAACACAGUUUUUACGUAACAGAACUGUUUUCCUCAUCACUAUUAGAAAUCAGUUGUUAAUGUGCAUGCUAGUGUUUUGAAUUUUAAUAUUGAUUAUAAAUUCACAUGUAGAUUAGUAAUUUGUAAAAAAAAAAAUGUAAAUUUAUGUAACUCAUUUUUCAGAUACUUUGGUACUAAUGUUAUUUUAUCGUUACCAAUUCUUACAACAAAUAUACCAAACUAUGGAUUUAAAUGUUUUGGCAUUAAAAACUAUUUGAUAAUAAAAUCAGGAAAUUUUA
ensembl:lncRNA novel transcript